GCAUCGCAGCACAAGCUUCAGGAGGAUUUAUAACUCUGUUUUUAUAAGAACUUUAUAACUCUGUGAAUCUGAACCAACAGCAACCAUGAGCUUCAUCACCAUCUUCAUCUGGAUAUUAACUAUCUACUGUUUCACAGAAUCAAGAGGUGAAGUGACAGUCACUCAGACGCCUGCAGUGGAAUCUGUUCGUCCAGGAGACUCAGUUACUGUAUCCUGUAAAACCAGUCCUGACGUCUAUCAGGGUUGGGGUUAUCAGCCUCUCAGCUGGUACUUACAGAAACCUGGAGAAACUCCAAAACUCCUGAUUUAUAAAGCAAGCACCCUCCAGUCAGGAACUCCAUCUAGAUUCAGUGGCAGUGGAUCUAAGAGUGAUUUCACUCUGACCAUCAGUGGAGUCCAGACUGAAGAUGCUGGACAUUAUUACUGUCUGGGUGUACACUGUCCUAGUGGCUGUGUGUUCACACAGUGAUAAAGAGUCGUACAA